rnacentral:rRNA from 1 species
AUGGCUCAGGACGAACGCUGGCGGCGUGCCUAAUACAUGCAAGUCGAACGGUCUUUUCUAUGGAAGCUUGCUUCCACUGAGAAGAUAGUGGCGAACGGGUGAGUAACACGUGGGUAACCUGCCCAUAAGAGGGGGAUAACAUCCGGAAACGGGUGCUAAUACCGCAUAGUUUUCUUGAUCGCAUGAUCGGGAAAGGAAAGACGGCCUUUGUGCUGUCGCUUAUGGAUGGACCCGCGGCGUAUUAGUUAGUUGGUGAGGUAACGGCUCACCAAGACGAUGAUACGUAGCCGACCUGAGAGGGUGAUCGGCCACAUUGGGACUGAGACACGGCCCAAACUCCUACGGGAGGCAGCAGUAGGGAAUCUUCCGCAAUGGACGAAAGUCUGACGGAGCAACGCCGCGUGAGUGAAAGAAGGUUUUCGGAUCGUAAAACUCUGUUGUCAGAGAAGAACAAGUUGGAGAGUAACUGCUCCAGCCUUGACGGUAUCUGACCAGAAAGCCACGGCUAACUACGUGCCAGCCGCCGC